rnacentral:ncRNA from 1 species
CUGCCAGUAGUCAUAUGCUUGUCUCUAAGAUUAAGCCAUGCAUGUCUAAGUAUAAGCACUUGUACUGUGAAACUGCGAAUGGCUCAUUAAAUCAGUUAUCGUUUAUUUGAUUGUACCUUUACCACUUGGAUAACCGUGGUAAUUCUAGAGCGAAAAGUCCCAACUUCUGGAAGGGAUGUAUUUAUUAGAUUCAAAACCAAUGCGGGUUCUGCCCGGUCAUUUGGUGAUUCAUAGUAACUGUUCGAAUCGCAGGGCCUCGCGACGGCGAUGUUUCAUUCAAAUUUCUGCCCUAUCAACUGUCGAUGGUAAGGUGUUGGCUUACCAUGGUUACAACGGGUGACGGAGAAUUAGGGUUCGAUUCCGGAGAGGGAGCCUGAGAAACGGCUACCACAUCCAAGGAAGGCAGCAGGCGCGCAAAUUACCCAAUCCUGCGAUGUUAGUUGAAGAUGAAGAACAAGGACGGAAACGAAGUUGAAGAAAAACUUUUUGAAUCUCAAUUAGAAAUAUUUAAAGAAUCAGACCGUGCGCACAUAGGACCCAGUCCCACCCCUGAAACUGAUUUUUCAACUCACUUGCUUCUUCGUGGCGUGUGCU